rnacentral:rRNA from 1 species
AACGAACGCUGGCGGCAUGCCUAACACAUGCAAGUCGAACGAGAACCUUCGGCUUCUAUUGGCGCACCGGUUCGUAACCCGUUGGAAUCUGCCCUUAUGUUCUGAAUAACAGUUAGAAAUGACUGCUAAUACCUGAUGAUGACGUUAAGUCCAAAGAUUUAUCGCCUGAGGAUGAUCCCGCGUAGGAUUAGCUAGUUGGUGUGGUAAAGGCUCACCAAGGAGACGAUCCUUAGCUGGGAUGAGAGGAUGAUCAGCCACACUGGGACUGAGACACGGCCCAGAAUGCGAGGCGAGAGAGAGGUGGAGAACAUUGGAGGAUGAGCGCAAGUCUGACACAGCAACGUCGGGUGAGUCAUGAAGGGCGUAGGGUUGCAAAGCUCUUUUAGACGGGAUGUUAAUGACAGUACCGGGAGAAGAAGCCCCGGCUAACUACGUG